rnacentral:lncRNA from 1 species
UUAAGCUUCAAAUUCUUAUAAAAUUUUGAUUUUGUUUCGUUGAAGAAAUUGGUUCUAUGCUUUAUCUACUAUUUUUGCAUUUGCCGUUAUCAGGUACUGACAAAUUGUUUGGUUUUAAUGCAGACAUCUGCACAUCUCUAAGAACUCUAAUCUGACGUCUGACGUGUGAUCUUAUAGGUGGUGACUGAUAGGAGGCUUGAAGCGGUGGAAGUUUGUUUUUUAAGUCUAAAGAAUAAGACAAAUUAGUCUGAGAUGGAACUAUACUAGAGAUAUGCUGUAAGUAAUUUGAAGAAUUCGUCUUUUCUAUUGACGAUGGACCAUUUUGACAGCCAUCAUUUGAAAGCGAAGAUAAUCUGUGCUCAUAAAGUUCAUUACAUAAACUCUCAUUGGAUAAGGUGGAUGAUGACAAAGAUUGAAACUGUGACUGUCCAGAGUACUGUGAUAAAUGAAUCGAAGGAAGUCUGCUGCUAUCUGGUAGAGAAUAAGACCUUGUUUCCUGAUAAGGAGGUGACGGACUUGAUCGAGUAGAGGCACUGUCUAAUGAUAGUCUAGAUUUUGGAAACGGUGGAAGAGUAACUGAUGGAAGGCGUGGAGAAGAAAAUGACAUUCUUUGAAAAAUAGAUCUUUUCUUAGACGUAUUUAGUUUGGCAUUUAAAUCCGCAAGUU